UUGUUCUGCCUUCCGUUCGCCACCAUUUGGCAGGAUUUGCUUCUAAUUGACCUGCGCAACAUCAAACCAUUUGUCUCGGGGAAUUUCCUGGGCUAUAAGAUAAAUGUUCGAUAUCACAAAAGAAGUCAUUUAUAUUAGUCUUACCAUCAUAUUUUGGCAUGGGUGGCAACGGAGCAUUCAUAAUAACAAUUGGUCAAGAGUGACAAUAAUUUUGGCCUCGGUGGGAAGACAGGUGCUUCUGGAUUACCUUCUUCCUGUCCUGACAACUGAUACAUUCUGGUGGCUGGUGAGAUCCCCGGAGAACUUAAUCUGGUAACUUGCUCUUGAAAACUAAUUACUUGAUCCGUU
rnacentral:lncRNA from 1 species